rnacentral:rRNA from 1 species
UACGUAGGGGGCAAGCGUUGUCCGGAUUUACUGGGCGUAAAGAGCGUGUAGGCGGCCACGCAGGUCCGUUGUGAAAACUGGAGGCUCAACCUCCAGCUGUCGACGGAAACCGUGUGGCUAGAGUCCGGAAGAGGAGAGUGGAAUUCCUGGUGUAGCGGUGAAAUGCGCAGAUAUCAGGAAGAACACCAAUGGCGAAGGCAGCUCUCUGGGACGGUACUGACGCUGAGACACGAAAGCGUGGGGAGCGAACAGG